rnacentral:snRNA from 1 species
UCUCUCUGGUUUCCCUUCAAAACGUAUAAUUCUUUCGCCUUUUACUAAAGAUUUCCGUGGAGGGGAACAAUUAAACGAGUCUGUAGACUAAUUUUUUGUUAGCACUGCCUUUCUGGCGGGGCU